AAGUCGUAACAAGGUUUCCGUAGGUGAACCUGCGGAAGGAUCAUUAACACGUAUCCAAACGUUAAAACAACCCUGUGAACCUUCAGCAUGUUCUUGCAGGACAUCGACCGACCGGGGUGGAGGCGAAAGCCUCUACGUCAUCCCUAUGUACCCUCCGGGACUUGGCGAAAGCUGACUCCGUCAUAAAUCGAACAACUGUUAACAAUGGAUAUCUUGGUUCUCGCAACGA
rnacentral:misc_RNA from 1 species